AUAUGAUGUAUGGGACAAGUUAGAGCUGAAAGGGAUACCAGAAGAACCUCAAGAUAUCGAACCAUUUAAGGUAAUAGAUGAAAACUUGAUAUGUCAUUUUAGUCACAAGGAACAUUAUUUACAACUCAACGAGGAAGGUAUCAUAUCCGGUGGAAGCAUUCGUUGUGAAGCAUGUGUCUUACCUAUAUAUUCUCAAGCAUUCUAUAGCUGCGUGCAAUGCAAUUUCAUUCUCCAUAAAACAUGCGCUAAUCUUUCUAGAAAGAAACGACAUUUUUAUCAUGACAAACCAUUAACUUUAAUAUGUGGUGACAAGAUAGGGCGUUAUUGUAAAUUGUGUGAAAAAUAUUCUGAAGGUUUCAAGUAUACUGACUUUCAAUACUUCAGUAUUGAUGUUAAGUGUGCCACAAUUUCUGAAUCUAUCAUCCAUGAAAGUCAUCCAUGCACCUUGUACUACAAUAACAACACGUAUAUGGAAUGCGCUUCUUGCAAUAAACGGGACUGUCAAUUGUUUAGUUGCGAUGACUGCAGCUUUGGAAUAGAUAAAAGAUGUGCUACUUUGCCAAAAACAACACAACACUGGUACGAUGAACAUCUUAUAUUUUUAUGUUACAACAAAAACAAGAGAGGAGGAGAAUAUUGGUGUGAUAUAUGCGAGGAACAAAUAGAUACCAUGAUCUGGUUCUACACAUGUGAUAGUUGCUGUGUCACGUUCCAUACUGAAUGUGUUCUCGGCGACUUUUCACGUUUUAUGCCGGGACGGAUAGUCACAUGUAUAAAUUGGAGGAUCAAAGCGAUGCAAACCAGUCCGGGUUUCUUACCACGUUGUUACAUUUGUCAUACUCGACGCGCAGUUCCCUUUGUUUUAAACUUAUGUAAUCCCCAAAAUAAUGUUUUCAUCUGUUCUUUAGAAUGUUUACUCAGAAUCUUAUUACCUGAAGAUUUGUAUUUUCUUUUAUAUAGAGAUGUAAUAACAUUCAUAUCUACGAAACAAUGAAUAAAUACUGUGUGUGUGUGUGUGUUUUUUUUAUAGAUUUUUUUUCGUGAAGCCAUUUCUUACCCAACGGCCUUUCAAAGAAAUCUUGGGCUUACUGAACUGAAUCGACUCGUGUGUGUGUAAAAGAAUCAUUCAUCAUCAUCAGUCAAAGAAACACUAAUGGUAACUCUAGAUCCGUCCAAAUGUUCUCCAUACUAAAUUGAUCUCUUCUUCACUUAGGAUCUCCGUUUUUGUUGUUCCGGCGAGAAGGCGGCGAGUCUGAUUGCGGUGGCGAUGUAGCCGACUUUAUCGGUGUUCACACUGACGAUUGGCCUCGUCAUUACCGCUUUCUUCUUCAUCUAUGAAGCUACAUCAUCUAGGAAAAACUGUAGCCUCAAGGUUUGAGCUCGCGACUGCGGCAGUAGCAUCUGUUUUCUUGGGAUUUGGAUCGCUGUUUUUGCUACUUGCUAGUGGUGUUUAUGUCUGAUCCUUCGUCCUCAAUACUAUUCCCAACUAGACAGAACUAGUUUCAAUGAACAAAGAUAGAACGCGAUGAGACGAUGACGAUGGUAGGGCACUGUCAGGGAGAUAGAUUCACGGACCAACACGUGCUCUCUUCAGCUGCGUUAUACAAAAAAAAACUAUUAGUUCGAGAAAAAACGGAAGAAAUAAAAAAAGGAGAGUUAUUUGCAAAUAUACUCUCUUGUUUCACGA